rnacentral:rRNA from 1 species
AUUGAACGCUGGCGGCAGGCCUAACACAUGCAAGUCGAACGAGUGGCGGACGGGUGAGUAAUGUCUGGGAAACUGCCUGAUGGAGGGGGAUAACUACUGGAAACGGUAGCUAAUACCGCAUACCAUCGGAUGUGCCCCGAGGGGAUUAGCUAGUAGGUUGGGUAAAGGCUCACCUAGGCGACGCUCCCUAGCUGGUCUGAGAGGAUGACCAGACACACUGGAACUGAGACACGGUCCAGACUCCUACGUGAGGCAUCAGUGGGGAAUAGUGCACAAUGGGCGCAAGCCUGAUGCAGCCAGGCCGCGUGUAUGAAGAAGGCCUUCGGGUUGUAAAGUACUUUCAGCGGGGAGGCGUUACCCGCAGAAGAAGCACCGGCUAACUCCGUGCCAGCAGCCGCGGUAAUAC